AACAGAACAUGACAGUACUCACCCUGGUCUGAACAGAACAUGACAGUACUCACCCUGGUCUGAACAGAACAUGACAGUACUCACCCUGGUCUGAACAGAACAUAACAGUACUCACCCUGGUCCUGAGUGGAGGUCUCUCCUGCAAAAGUAGUUCCAGUGAAGAUUUAGAGGUUUGACUAAUAAAAAUGUGAUGUUUCCAAGGAGCGCGGUGAGAAGAUGAGAUGUCCUCAAGAUGAGAUGUCCUCACGUCCCCCUCAUCGUCUCCUGAUGACAGUGACGCUCUUCCUCCUCCUCCUCCUCCUCCUCCUCCUCUUCAUGCGCUUCCUGCAGGCCAAAGUCACCACCAAAGCCUGCGUCCUGCCGGCUGGCCAGACCGAGGUGAUGUGUCCGCUGCUGCUGCUGCUGCAAACACCACAGGUGGGAAAGAAAAAACCUCCAAGUUUAGCUACCGUCUGGUAGUGUGACCCCAGGAUGCAGAGCACAGGUAGCGACAAGCAAUGUCCAGAGGAGCUGGCGGAAUAAUCAUCCUGAUCGGCAACCAGAGAUGAAGUGAAGUGGCAGAAAAUGAAAACACACAGGAAGUGAAAGGAAGUCCAAAACUGUCAGUUUUGGAA